AAUGCCCUACGGGAGGCAGCAGUGGGGAAUAUUGGGCAAUGGGCGCAAGCCUGACCCAGCAACGCCGCGUGAAGGAAGAAGGCUUUCGGGUUGUAAACUUCUUUUCUCAGGGACGAAGCAAGUGACGGUACCUGAGGAAUAAGCCACGGCUAACUACGUGCCAGCAGCCGCGGUAAUACGUAGGUGGCAAGCGUUAUCCGGAUUUACUGGGUGUAAAGGGCGUGCAGCCGGGAGUGCAAGUCAGAUGUGAAAUCCCGCGGCUCAACCGCGGAACUGCAUUUGAAACUGUGCUUCUUGAGUGCUGG
rnacentral:rRNA from 1 species